rnacentral:tRNA from 1 species
GCCUGGGUGGCUCAGUCAGUGAAGCAUCUGACUUUGGCUCAGGUCAUGAUCUCACAGCUGUGAGUUCAAGCCCCACAUCGGGCU